UGGGGAAUAUUGCACAAUGGGCGCAAGCCUGAUGCAGCCAUGCCGCGUGUAUGAAGAAGGCCUUCGGGUUGUAAAGUACUUUCAGCGGGGAGGAAGGGAGUAAAGUUAAUACCUUUACUCAUUGACGUUACCCGCAGAAGAAGCACCGGCUAACUCCGUGCCAGCAGCCGCGGUAAUACGGAGGGUGCAAGCAUUAAUCGGAAUUACUGGGCGUAAAGCGCACGCAGGCGGUUUGUUAAGUCAGAUGUGAAAUCCCCGGGCUCAACCUGGGAACUGCAUCUGAUACUGGCAAGCUUGAGUCUCGUAGAGGGGGGUAGAAUUCCAGAUGUAGCGGUGAAAUGCGUAGAGUUCUGGAGGAAUACCGGUGGCGAAGGCGGCCCCCUGGACGAAGACUGACGCUCAGGUGCGAAAGCGUGGGGAGCAAACAGG
rnacentral:rRNA from 1 species